rnacentral:rRNA from 1 species
GGCGUGCUUAACACAUGCAAGUCGAACGAUGAAGGCUCCUGCUUGCGGGGGUUGGAUUAGUGGCGAACGGGUGAGUAAUACGUGAGUAACCUGCCCCUUUCUCUUGGGAUAAGCCUUGGAAACGAGGUCUAAUACUAGAUAUUCUGCUUCUGCCGCAUGGUGGGGGUUGGAAAGGUUUUUUCUGGUGGGGGAUGGGCUCACGGCCUAUCAGCUUGUUGGUGGGGUGAUGGCCUACCAAGGCGUCGACGGGUAGCCGGCCUGAGAGGGUGACCGGCCACAUUGGGACUGAGAUACGGCCCAGACUCCUACGGGAGGCAGCAGUGGGGAAUAUUGCACAAUGGACGAAAGUCUGAUGCAGCGACGCCGCGUGGGGGAUGAAGGCUUUCGGGWUGUAAACUCCUUUUAACACUGAACAAGGCGAAAGUUGAGGGUAGGUGUUGAAUAAAGCGCCAAGCUAACUACGUGCCAGCAGC